rnacentral:tRNA from 2 species
GGGCUCAUAGCUCAAUGGUUAGAGCAGCGGACUCAUAAUCCGUUGGCUGGGGGUUCAAGUCCCUCUGGGCCCA